rnacentral:sRNA from 1 species
UAUUGCAUUACACUGCACUAGUUGCCCG